rnacentral:rRNA from 1 species
CCUACGGGUGGCUGCAGUGGGGAAUAUUGGGCAAUGGAGGAAACUCUGACCCAGCAACGCCGCGUGAAUGAUGAAGGUCUUCGGAUUGUAAAGUUCUUUUCUAAGGGAAGAAGAAAGUGACGGUACCUUAGGAAUAAGCCUCGGCUAACUACGUGCCAGCAGCCGCGGUAAUACGUAGGAGGCGAGCGUUAUCCGGAAUGACUGGGCGUAAAGGGUGCGUAGGUGGUUUGGCAAGUUAGUAGCGUAACUCCGAGGCUCAACCGUGAAACUACUACUAAAACUGUUGGACUUGAGUGCAGGUGGGGUAGGCGGAAUUCGUGGUGUAGCGGUGGAAUGCGUAGAUAUCAGGAGGAACACCAGUUGCGAAGGCGGGUUGCUAAACUGUAACUGACACUGAGGCACGAAAGCGUGGGGAGCAAACAGGAUUAGAUACCCCAGUAGUC